rnacentral:rRNA from 1 species
ACGAAGCUUUCGGGCUUAGUGGCGCACGGGUGCGUAACGCGUAUGCAAUUUACCUUUUACAGGGGGACAACACUAGGAAACUGGUGCUAAUACCGCGUAAUAAAUAGAGAGGCAUCUUUUUAUUUUAAAAGAAUUUCGGUAAGAGAUAAGCAUGCGUCCCAUUAGCUAGUUGGUAAGGUAACGGCUUACCAAGGCCACGAUGGGUAGGGGAACUGAGAGGUUUAUCCCCCACACUGGUACUGAGAUACGGACCAGACUCCUACGGGAGGCAGCAGUAAGGAAUAUUGGGCAAUGGGCGAGAGCCUGACCCAGCCAUGCCGCGUGCAGGAUGACGCUCCUCGUUGGGUGUAAACUGCUUUUAUUAGGGAAGAACAAGUUUCUGCGGAGACAACUGACGGUACCUAAUGAAUAAGCACCGGCUAACUACGUGCCAGCAGCCGCGGUAAUACGUAGGGUGCAAGCGUUGUCCGGAUUUAUUGGGUUUAAAGGGUGUGUAGGCGGUCUAGUAAGUUUUGGGUGAAAGCCCACCGCUCAACGGUGGAACUGCCUGAGAUACUGCUAGACUUGAGUAUAGUUAAAGUUACUAGAAUUGGUGGUGUAGCGGUGAAAUGCAUAGAUACCACCAGGAAUACCAAUUGCGAAGGCAGGUAACUAGGCUAUAACUGACGCUGAGGCACGAAAGCAUGGGUAGCGAACAGGAUUAGAUACCCUGGUAGUCCAUGCUGUAAACGAUGAGGACUCG